CAGGUCCCCAGGCUCCAGGGUGCCUAACGUGGGAUACGGCCACAUUGUGUUGGUGUGAGAGGAAGAGAGAGCACACAGAAGGGAAAGCAGAACUUGGAAGAGUGUUUCAACCUACAGGCUGGAAUGUGGAAGUUGUGGCGACUUAACCCAGUGAAAGAGCAACAAGGGGAAGGGAACCUGAGCCCAUGAAUGGACCAGAGACACCUGCAGCUUGUCUCCAGACAAAAUAGCUCAUAGUUGGAGGAUGAAAACAAACACAAAACUCGUCUUCACAUGAAGGCAGCCGGUAUGAAUG